GUGGGCUGGCCUGGAGGCUCCCAUGUACUUGUGGCCAUGUGUCCACAUGUCUCUUCUGUCCCUGUCCAGACCCAGCAGAUGCUAUCUAUGUGAAGAGUUGGGAGGCCAGCAGAGAUGCUCACAGACCUGGAGGUCAGAGCACUGGCUGCAGUCCAGAUACUCAUGAGCUGAGUGCCAGCCUGGGAGUUUAGGUCAGAGGUCACAACUUACUAGGUCUCCUGGGAUAAGAUCAUCACUGGAAAGUGAGCAGUGUGGGGUUCUUCGGAAGCUGGAGUUGACCUUUGUGGACACACUGUUCUUCAGCGUCUAUGGGAAAGCAAACAGCAGGGACCACCGCUGCUGGGGGCUGGAUUCUUUUUCUGCCCCACAUCUCCAACUCUUGGACUACUGCUUCCUGACAUCUUUCCUUAUUUUUAGGACUGUUUUGACGUGACAUUGCUGGAACCCAAGCACUGAGCUGUGUAGCCCAGAAGCCCUUGAACUGAUCCACAGUAUCAUUUCUUGUCAUUGGGGACUGACAGAGUGCAGAGGGCUGAUGUGAGGACCAGCAGUCUACACAGGGCAGGCUUUUCUGAUCCUCUGAGCCCCGUGAGGAGGGUUUAGGGCCUGUCAUGUUCUCUCACCUGCUACUGUUCCAUGAAGGCAGCCACACUGACACAUUAACAAGAGUCCUCAGGGGCUUGGCUUCCCUGGCAAGCACAAGGGGUGGAGAGGUUGAUCCCCAGAAUGCUCAUGGAAGACAGAAAGACAAAAAGACAGAAAGACAGAUAGAUGGGCCAUUUUUAAUCUUAGUUUAGUGUAGUGCUGAAAAAGCAGAGACUGGCUGAUCCUUGGGCUCACCGACCAGCUGGAGAGUUCCUGACCAGUGAUAGACUGUCUCAGAAACUCAAAGUGCAUAGCAGAGGUUGACUUCUGGCUUAGACACACCUGAAUACACACACACACACACACACACACACACACACACACACACACACACACCCUAGAGUUACCAUUCCAUCUUCUGUUUUCUAUCCUGGGUGCUGACUGCAGGAGUGGACUAAGUUUUCAAGCUCUAUGCCUUUGAAACAGAGUGUUAGCCAGGUACCGGCUGCAGUGAUACACAGUGAUACCAGGGAAGGGUGACAGCUGGGUUGUGCGGCUCCUGUUAAUGGUCAAGGGCAAGAAGGAGAAGAGGUAAUUCUUUUUAAAAAGAACAGCAGUGAAGAAGCAUCAGCACAGGGCACUCAGGAGCACAUUCAACACUCCCCUCUCCCACCUCCCUACCCUCACCUCCCCACUCUCCACCCCUCACCUCCAUCCCACUGCCCUACAAAGGGACCUCAGUUGCAGCCGCCACAGGGGUGUGCCUCAGGAUUGCCUGUUUUCUCUUCUGGCUCAUCUUUCAAGUGAAUGGAGGAGCUAAUGGAGCAGCAGUGCGAGGUGAGAGUUUGACUCUUCUGGCCUGGCCACCUUCCACUGUGCCCCUCUGAGCUGAGAUCUACCUCAGGGUUGAAACUGCCCUUACACAACCCUUCCUGAUCAUCUUGUCCUGGACCUUGUCUUUUGCCCUCCUACUCUUCACCCACAGUGGUUUCCCAGAUGACCCACAUGAAUGUCACGUCCAUGCAGCUGAAGUGGAUGCAGAUGUGGAAAGUGUAGCUCGCCCACCCAAAUGUAUUGUAAGUUGGUUAAGUAUGGGAAUCCCUUAAGAAAGCUUAGGAAUGUCUACAGAGGACAAAGGCAAAGGGAGGAGGUCCAUGGAAAGGGAGCACUCCUGGGAUGCAGAAGGUACUCUCGUGGGGUGGGAAACGUGGGGACGGGUAAGCCAAUCACACAAUGCUCUAAACAUGGGCUGGUGAGACCAGGGAAAGCCCUUUCUCCAUCCUUUCUACACAUGCCAGGUAGAGUUGUGGGGCUGAUUGCAUUGCGAUGUUCCGUUUCACACUCCCAAGCUUUGGGAAGUCAGCCUCUUCUGUAGUUCCGUUACUUUGGAAUCUCUGCCUUGGAGGAGCCUAGAGAGGAAAUGGGCACACAGCUGGGCCCCUGGAUGGGGCUGGGCUGCUGCCAGCCGGCCAGGAGACUGUGAACGGUGUGUUCUUUAAAGAAGAAUACAGCAUUUCUGCUAUCUGACAAACCAGCAUAUUUCAACAUGUGCCUGGGCGUCGACUACAGGCGUGGCAGGGGUCACUUAUUUCUGCCUAACGUCCUCCUACUCAGGCAUGUGCAGAUACCACUCACUCGGCUGUUUGUGUAGUCACGAGGUGUUCUAAACACAGCUGCUUUAAGGGUGUGCUAGAGGUGUGGGUACUUACAGCAUCUGUGAGGAAUCUUUACAAAGCAAAUUUUGGAAGGAGGCCUAUUUGCGGAUGAAGAGCCACUGUAUCCCUUGUCUGAGUUUGGAGUUUUGGUACAGUAUUUUGAGAGCAGGAUGUUCACGAGAUGCUGAUUCCAACCACCCGAGGUGUGACAUCCCCCUACCCCCACGAACACUUUUCCAAGAGUGGGAGCACUCUUGACUAUCCCACCGCAGCCACACCCCGCCUUCUACCAGAGGCCAGAACCUCAGGACUUUAUCUUAAUCCUGGAAGGUGCUCCAUGGCAACGGGACCAGACAUUGAUGGCAGGGGCAUGUCUGUCUGUCCUCAGGCAGCAGAGUCCAUAUUUCAGUCUUCUCAUCCCUUAUCUAUUUUCCAGGAGUAAUGAGGGGGAGGGGUGUCUGUGCAUGAUAUGCACAGUGAUUAAGACAGCUCAGAUCCAUAGGAGGGAUGUUUGUCCUCUCAGGUCCAGGUGAGAGAUAGCAGACGGGGUUUGGUUUGAGCCUUCCCGAGAGAAGCUUCUUGGACCAUUGUGUGGAGGUGUUUUUAGGGUAUCCUAGAGAGCUCUGUCUCUUCCAACUGGUAAGUUACAUGGUUAUAGGUGCUGAGACAGUGCCCAAGAGACUCCAUACACCUUGUACUGACCAUCGAGACCCAGUCUUACGUUUUUUGUCUGUAUCUCAUACCAGUCCCCUCUGUGGCUUUUCUGUUCAUGGCCGGGGUCUUUGGUGGCCCUGCCUAGAUCCAAAGUGACUGAGUGCUGAGGUUUUCUCUGUUGUUAUGUACUGUAAUGCUAAAUACUGGUCCCCAAGGCCUGGUCGCCCCCAAGGGACCUGAUGUUAUUGGUAGGGAAGGAGACACAAUAGCACAGAGGGUAGAUAUCUGCCCAGCGUUCGUGUUGAUUAAGGCCUAUUAUAAAUAUAAAAGUGUCUUUUAUCUGAGAACUGAAUGAGCAAAGGCGGGGUAGAAACCCUCGUUUGAGAUUAAAGCAUGUCGGUUUGUACUGUACUAUUCAGGCCCAGGGAACAUCUGGUGGGUCUACUCUUCUGGACACUUGACUGACUUCUACCUUGAAGGGGUGAGUGGCUGCCAGAAGGAACAGCUUCCUGUGGCUGAGAUCAGCAAGACCAUGAAGCCUGCUCCGGCUCCAGCAACCUCAGGGACAAGAAUAGGAUGGGUCCCAAGAAAUCUGGGAAGGAGAUUUGGGGCAGUAGUCUUAUCAGGAAGGGGCUUUUGAAGAUGUGAAUCAAGUUAAGGUGAGUUCAUUAGAGUGGUCCCUAACAAUGCUGUCUUUGCAAGAAACAAGUCAGGGGGUACAGCAGUGACAGCAGAGGCAGAGUUGGACCUCCAGCAAAGGGUGAGCCAGUCCCUGUUGACAACUCAUCAGUCAGCUUCCAGAACAGUGGGGAGGGCCAUUUCUGUUGGGCUAAGCCUCCACUUGUGGUACUUUGUGAUGGUGGCCCCAGGAAGGCCAAUUUCUCAACAUCAACCCAUUAUCUGUCUGUCUGUCUAUUAUCUAUCUAUCUAUCUAUCUAUCUAUCUAUCUAUCAUCUAUCUAUCUAUCUAUCUAUCUAUCUAUCUAUCUAUCUAUCCAUCAUCUAUCAUAGGAUAUUGUAUAUUGGAUGUUUUGAGAAUCAGAACAACCAUGGAAUAAAACAUAGGCAAAAGAAACAAAGAACCAUUCGUGUAGGGAAGCUCCCGAUCCCGGCUGUCUGUGAAAGAAAGAAGAAAGAAGUAGGCUGGCAGUAGAAAUGACCAACACUCCUAGUUUGGUUUCAGUUCCGUGGGACAAAACACUGACCAAAAGCAACUUGGGGAGGGGAGGGUUUAAUUUCAGUUUAUAGUUUACAGUCCAUUAGUGUGGGGAAAUCAGGGCAGGAACUGACAGCAGGAACCUGGAGGCAGGAACGGGAGAAGCACAGGCCGUGAAGGGAUGCUGCUUACUGGCUUGCUCCCCUUGGCUUGCUCAACUUUAUACGCCCCAGGACCUGUCCAGGAGGAACACCACCAGUAAAGGGCUGGACCCUUCCACAUUAAUGAUCCAUAGCAAAAAAUGUUUACAGGCCAGUCUGACAGAAUUAGGGUUUCAUCUUCCCAGAUGACUCUAAUUUAUGUCAUAUUGACAAAGACUUAACAAACACAGAUGGCCAUGGAAAUGUCAGUAGGGGCCAGGGAAAGAAUGGAGGGCAUAAAGCCUGUAAAUGAGCAGAUCUAAGACUCUCUGAGGGGCUGGGCCUGGGGCACACACCUGUGGCCAGCGCUUGAGAGGUGAAGGCAAGAGCAUCAGGAAUUCAAGGACAGACUCCGCUCCAACACGUUUUAAAGCAAGCCUGGGUUACGUAAGACCCUGCCUUCAAGCAACUGGGCAAAUAACAAAAAUACCAGACACUGGGGAGGGAGAAAGGUCUGAGAUAAAGGCAGUUUCAAGCCAGGGAGGUGAGAAGGGAGGUAAAAACUUGACUAUUGUACGCAUCAGCCCCCAGCAGAGACUGAGCAGGCAAGUGGUCAGCGGGUUCCAGCAUCUUGUGUGACCAGGAAGACCGAUGGGCUGUCAAGGACUCUCGGCUUCGCCUCUGCAGCAGCUGAGAACCUGAGUUCGAGCGCUGGUUGUGGGCAAGAAGUGUGACUGAGCACAUAACUGGAGCUGGCUGCCAUUCACUGCAGAGGGUUACUACAAGUCAGCACUGGGGCCCUCACAAGUGGCCGCUAUGAAGACGAGCUACCACUGGUUUGAAGCGUGACAGCUGCUGGGAAGCUACUCCCCUCUGUCCUGAUAAGGUUGAUCUAGGAAGCUUGCACUCAUUACCGUUCCAAGCAGACCCACUCUGCAGAUGGGCAACUGUCAGAGGCGGAGUUGGACCAAGGGCUCCGAGGUUCCCCCAGGGCAGAAGCUACUUCUGCCUUGCAGACAAGGAGUGUCAAGAAGGGAAUGUCAAGUCUGACCAGCGAGUACAAAAUGUGACUUGCCAUAUGCAACGACUAAUUCUUUAGGGGUGUUUUAACUCCUUAUGAGUGUUUUACCCAUUUGGUCCUCAUGCAUACUCAUGAUGAUAUAUGAAGAUAACAUAAAUUAUAUGAUGGUAGGGAUACCAUUUCAGGGACAGCAAGGUAGUUGCGAGGGUAAGAGGCACUUGCUGUUAAGCCUAAUGACCUGGCAUUGACCCCUGUGACCCAGUGGUAGAAGGAGAGAAGUGGACUCUUGUCAUGCCCUGCCGAAGAUGUACACGCACACACAUACAGGAUACAUUUAAAAAGUAACCUAAAAAUUUUAACUUAAUAACUUUUUCCUCUUUGACCAGACAUCUUAUUCAACCACAUGGUAAUUUGAGUCCUAACUGUCAUCCUAUGAAUCACAUUUGGCUUCUGACUUAUCUAUGAAGUUAAUUACCAAUUAAUAACUAUUGCUGUGACCUGGGGUCACUGUUAAUUGAAAUGUCAAAAUAGGAAUGACUAUUACGAAAUUUAUUGCAAAAGAAUAAAAAAUAUUACAUCUGUU